UACGUAGGCAGCGAGCGUUGUUCGGAGUUACUGGGCGUAAAGGGUGCGUAGGCGGUUGUUUAAGUUUGGUGUGAAAUCUCCCGGCUCAACUGGGAGGGUGCGCCGAAUACUGAAUGACUAGAGUGCGGGAGAGGAUAGUGGAAUUCCUGGUGUAGCGGUGAAAUGCGCAGAUAUCAGGAGGAACACCCGUGGCGAAAGCGGCUCUCUGGGACGGUACUGACGCUGAGACGCGAAAGCGUGGGGAGCAAACAGG
rnacentral:rRNA from 1 species